rnacentral:lncRNA from 1 species
UAACUCAGGGAGUCUUUUUCGGUUAAUGAUACUGAAAAUAUCAAGAGCAAAAUCCCAAGUCUGUACGAGGAGAGAACUGUCUGUCAUGGAUGUUGUAGAAACUUGGUAUUUGCCUACAAUCAUCUGAUUUUGUUUGUUGAUGUUGUUGUCGUUUCUACAAGGCAAGAUGGGCCAGCAUGGUUGUUACAUCUACAUGGGUUUUGUUGAAAUGAUAUUUUGUCCUUCUGUUUAUUGAAUUUUGAUUUUUAAUAUAGUUCCUGGAGUAUUUGCUACUCAACAGCAUGAUUUCUCUGUUUCUUUCUAUUUGAGAGCAGAAAUAGACCUUGUCAUAAGAAUUUACAAAAGUGAACAUUGCUCUCAUGUUUUAAAAAUAAUAAUAAUAAUGAAGAGAUGCUCAUUGAACUUAUGGAUGCUUUCAUAGAAAUAAAUGUCUUCUCCAAAUGAGUAAGUUUUAAUGG